GUUCAUGCAAAACUGUUAUGUAUAAUUCCCAUAAGUUGCAUUGUGCCAUAAGUGUGUUCACUGACUGUGGUUCUUGUAGAGGAGCAUUAAUCAGCAAUGACAACAAUAAUCAAUUCACUCCUGUUAUUACUAUUUUUACAUGAUGUUCAUUGUCAGACAUUCACUCAGUCUCAAGAUGUGGUAAAAAGACCAGGUGAAUCUUUUCGUCUGGUCUGUACUGCUUCUGGAUUUACAUUCAGUGGCUCCUGGCCAGCUGUGGUGAGACAGGCACCCGGUAAAGGACUGGAAUGGGUUACAACGAUUGGCACAUCCAGUUCUCAAAUCUACUAUUCCCAGUCAGUUCAGGGCAGGUUCACAGUGUCCAGAGAUGAUUCCAGCAGUCAACUGUACCUACAGAUGAACAGCCUCAAGACUGAAGACACUGCUGUGUAUUACUGUGUGAGAGAGUCACAGUGAAUGAGUUCAGUGUCAAAGCAAUACAAAAACCACCACCUUUCCUUUUGAGU